rnacentral:rRNA from 1 species
UAUACGACUCUCGGCAAUGGAUAUCUCGGCUCUUGCAUCGAUGAAGAGCGCAGCGAAAUGCGAUACGUGGUGCGAAUUGCAGAAUCCCGUGAACCAUCGAGUCUUUGAACGCAAGUUGCGCCCGAGGCCAACCGGCUGAGGGCACGUCCGCCUGGGCGUCAAAC